AGUAUUCAUGUAGUCCGGCAACCCUGCAAGCCGCCAUUUGUAGUCUUACUUAGCCUUGUUUAGGUGGAUUUAACAUAGGCUAACGACUUUGGGGAAUGAUUUCUCCCAUUAAUUUUGCUACCAGGAGCAAAAUUAUUGUGGCACGUUGUACGUCAGGAUAUUGCCAACAUUUCAAGUGCCAAAUUUUCAAGAAUUCGCUACAACUAGUACUUCAAAUCGUCGUUACAGUGAAGGGCUAUCAACAUUUGAAACAAUAACAAACAGUCAACAGCAAAUGGAAUGUAAAUGCCUUCUGAGGAUGCAGAAGAUCUUUUACAUGAUCCUUAUUCAAUGUAGCCAACUGUGAUUGAAGAUUGAUGAUUUUUUCUUUAAGUGCACUGACUUCUACUAACUCAGUUUCUGUUGUUGGAUUUUCUGAAUUUGGUGUUAAUUCUGGAAGGAUAAGUGGAAGUGCAAAUGACUCUUGCUCGAUGUCUGCUAUAUGUUUCAAGCCAACUGACAAAUCUAGAGGGCCAUCAUUUUCAUUUGAUUCCAUGAGUUGACUGUGAUCAGAUUCAGCAACAACUUCAGAAGUGUCAGUAAUGUUGUGGUCCAUUACAUUACACAAUUUAUCUAUACAAUUUCAAUUAAUACUAUAACUGUCAACUGUAUAUAUUAAUGAAAAUGGUGAAACCUCUGUUGAUGUUGUAUCUCUUCCUUCUUUGAUAUCGAGUAGAGUAGUUUUUGUCAAGGUUAAGUGUUGGUGCCCAAUCAACAUUGUCCACAUCACGGUAAUAUGAUGGUUUACCUACAAAAA